GAUGAACGCUGGCGGCAUGCCUUACACAUGCAAGUCGAACGGUAACGCGGGGCAACCUGGCGACGAGUGGCGAACGGGUGAGUAAUAUAUCGGAACGUGCCCAGUGGUGGGGGAUAGCCCGGCGAAAGCCGGAUUAAUACCGCAUACGACCUACGGGUGAAAGCGGGGGAUCGCAAGACCUCGCGCCAUUGGAGCGGCCGAUAUCAGAUUAGGUAGUUGGUGGGGUAAAGGCCCACCAAGCCAACGAUCUGUAGCUGGUCUGAGAGGACGACCAGCCACACUGGGACUGAGACACGGCCCAGACUCCUACGGGAGGCAG
rnacentral:rRNA from 1 species